rnacentral:rRNA from 1 species
AUUGAACGCUGGCGGCAUGCUUUACACAUGCAAGUCGAACGGUAACAGGUCUUCGGAUGCUGACGAGUGGCGAACGGGUGAGUAAUACAUCGGAACGUGCCUAGUAGUGGGGGAUAACUACUCGAAAGAGUAGCUAAUACCGCAUGAGAUCUACGGAUGAAAGCAGGGGACCUUCGGGCCUUGUGCUACUAGAGCGGCUGAUGGCAGAUUAGGUAGUUGGUGGGGUAAAGGCUUACCAAGCCUGCGAUCUGUAGCUGGUCUGAGAGGACGACCAGCCACACUGGGACUGAGACACGGCCCAGACUCCUACGGGAGGCAGCGGUGGGGAAUUUUGGACAAUGGGCGAAAGCCUGAUCCAGCAAUGCCGCGUGCAGGAUGAAGGCCCUCGGGUUGUAAACUGCUUUUGUACGGAACGAAAAGCCUGGGGCUAAUAUCCCCGGGUCAUGACGGUACCGUAAGAAUAAGCACCGGCUAACUACGUG